GCUAAGUGACGUCUGCAGAGUCCCCUGUGCCAUGUGACGAUGCACGCUCACGGCUGCCGCGGGGACGCGGGCCCGGCCACUGCCUGGCCUGCUACAGCGUGGUCUAGAGAUUCCUGUCCGUUCGAGGAGCCGCGGGCCCCACCGCUUGGAGCGGUCCUUGGGACCAAAUUGUCUUGGAGCAGAACAAAGACACCCAAAGAAAUGCAUCGUACGCACCAGCCCCCACCUUUUGUCUGCUUUUCAUUGUCCACGUGGUGGGUCCACAUCCACGUGAGACCCAAGGCUUUUCAUCAGGCCAGAUGUACCCAUCAUGUGCUUGGACCCCAGGACAAUCACCAGCAGAGCACCGCUCGUGUGUACCUACUGUCCUUGACUUGGACUUGGAAGACUUCCUCAUUUUUAGAAGGAUGAACUGGCCUCUGUUGGCAGAGCACUCAGUCCAAAUGCAUUUUUAGAAAGCAAGCCUGUUGCCUCUUGGAUUAGUUCAAUACAAUACCUGGAACCAGACCCCGGUGAGGCUUUGUCUUACGCAAUAGACAUGUGAAUCUAAUGUAAUUUUGAAUAUGUACGUGUAUAAUGUACACGUAUAAGAUUUAUAUGUGUUAUCUUAACUAAAACACUUUAAAAGAUGCAUAUUACAUUGCCGUAUUUCCUAGCCUGCUUAAGGCUGUCUCUGCCUCUCUCCCUGCUCAUGCUCUCUCUCUCUAAAAUAAAGUUUAAAAAAAGAUUUGCUGUCAUCCUGGGGCCACAGGCCAUCAUCAUCAGGUGGAGCCAACCUGCAGCCAGGUGAGCCAGGUUUACACAGGACAGGUGCCUGCCGGUGACACCCCCCAAGAGAUAUUCCUCCGGAGCAGAGGGAUUAUACAGAUGGGAACUCACACUCUAUCUGGGAAGCUGCAAAAAUAUUUUGACAUCCUGAAAGCUGGUUCCUGUUAGCAGAUCUCUUCCUGUUAAAGUAAAUAAAAGAAGGGGGGAAAAAAGAAAAGUAAGAAAAGCAAGUCUGUCUUAAAACCUACCCUUGAUUUAGAAAGAGACCAUCUUCUGGAAGCAUUGUUCAUCUCCCGACCAUCAGAUGAUAUUGCUGAUUCAUCACGUCAGAUCCUUUUCUCUUAUUUUUACGAAAGGACAUCAUUGAGCCAGUGCCUUUUGGGGCCAUCUCUUGAGUUCCGUGUGUUUUGCCCCACGUGUGCAUCCAGAAAACUGCACCAUGGGUGCAGAUGAGCCAAAGGCUUUGGGUGUGAGGGAGCAGGACGACCGGGUGCUGAGGGAGCUCAGACAUCAGGACUCACCUGGACCAGGAGCAGGUGCAAGGAACAGGUGUAUCUGCUCUGUGUUUGGUUGAAGCCACCGAGGAAAGAAGCAAAGACACAUCCAUGAUAGAGUCCCUGGAAGAAGGACUCAGGCUCAGGGGUCCGUGCUGACCCACCAGGAGUAGAGACUGGAAUGUCACCCAGACCACAACCACUGGCCCAAGGAUUGGGGUUGCAUCUUCUGGACGCUCUAGGUGCUUCUCCCAAGGGACCACCAUCUUUUGGCCUCCAUGGCACCAAUAGCAAUAGUGUGGCCUCCAGGUGAAGGUGAGACACCCAGGUGUUUAAGACAUGGCAGCAUGAAGGGGAGAAGAAAAUCCAGAGACAGGAAGCUGAGGUUCAUGAGAAGCAUGAGCGCCUAAGGUUUACCCAUUCUCCGAUGCGUAAAGACCAUUAUGGCAUUGAAAACCCAGGUAAUGUGACCCAGGGUCAUCUCCCAGUGCACACCCCAUUCAUGGCUCACACAGACUGGAUUUGCCCUCCCGUCUACAUGAGCCCCCACCGGGAACCCGCUCUCAUCCUCCACAGGUGCUGAGCGAGACCUUCCGGGCCCCACCAAGAGGUGGUCUCUUCUGUUUGCCACGGUGCUGAAUCUGCUCCUCCCAGGGGACUGGCUGGUCCCUCCUCCCCAUUCCUGUGAUGUUCCAUCUAACGUUUCUUGAGGUGCUUGUCUACUGCCCGUGUGUGCGCCCAUAUACCUGUACCUAGAUACCCUUACCUGUCCCCCUGCACCUGUACUAUACCCGUAUCUACAUAUCUGUUCCUGUACUGACAGGUGUGUGUCUGUGCCUACACUUUUACCUAUAGCCAUUUCUAUAUACCUACAUGCACACGCCUUUACCUAUGUGUAUACCUGCGCUUCUGUGUAUACACCUAUAUGUAUACAUUUACCCAUAUGCAUUUCUAUACAUCUCUGUCUCUACCCCUCCAUCAACACCAGACCUGUAUCUAUAGCUGUAUACUUAUAUCUGUCCCUAUACCUGUUUCUAUAGAGCUUUAUCUAUGUGUACUUUGACUUCUAUGCCUACACCUAUCCUAUAUAUUUAUAGCUCUGUAAUUAUGUUUAUUCUAGACCUAUAUCUAUACCUAUGCUUGUAUCUCUAUACUGAUGCUAUACCUGUAUCACAAGUGUGUUUAUAGUUGCACGUGCACCUCUAUACCUAUACCUCUACAAUGCACACCUACACCUGCCUGCAUCUCUCUGUCUCUAUCUCUAUCCCUUUACUCCACCUCCAUAGGCAUAUAUGUGUAUGUCUGAGUCUCUACUUCUAUCUCUGUCUCUCUAUAUAGCGCUAUCUCUCUGUAUUGUGCACCUCAAACGCUGUUUGCACUACAGAUGCAUAAGCACAGUGCCUAGAUCGGCCCAUGCAUGGAGUAGGAUGUCAGAAACUGUGAGGUGUUAGACAUGGAAAUGUCUUCAUAUGUUUUCCAAAAGAAGGAAGGAAGGAGGAAUGCAGUGAUGAGGAGAUAAGCAGCCAGAGAUGAACAAGGCUCCUGUUCAUUGAUGACAGAGGGACCUCAUGAGGAGUCCGGAUCCCAGGAUAGAUGUGUCAUCCAUGUUUUAAUGGAGUCAUGGCACGCAUCCCAUUACUGAUACUCUCGUUGUCUUGUCCCACCAGACUGUGGGCUCCUUAGGAGAGAAGAUGGCUGAUCUUUGUUUGUCUUCUCGGGAUCGGUCAUGGUGCUGGGUAGGCAUUCAAUACACCUGUGCUGAGCUGAAUAAAUGUAGACGUUAUUCCAGUCCUAAAGUGAAGAGUAAAGUCAAAGAGGCUGGCAAAUCCUAAUGUGUAUUUGUGCAGUUGUUUGAUUACGGCUUACCAUGCCAAGUAGAGUCAGGCUCCAAGGAGGUGGGAAACUCGUCUCUCUUGUGUCCUUGUUUUAUCCCAAUACCUAGUACUGUGCCUGGCAUGCAUGCCCAAGAGGCUCCGAAAACAGAAGCAAAGGAUCCAGAGAGUGGAUUUCAUUUCAUUUCAGCUCCGUUGGGUGAGGAAACAGAAGAGGGAGUCCCCCUCCUUCAAGGAAACAUCUCUGAAGAUCCAAUGACAUGUGUCCCAGAGGAAGCAUGUGGGUAAUCCUGUCCUAAUUUUUGUAAGGAAAUGUUGAGUGUCUCCAACCAAUGGAAGAAUUCGGGAGUGGAUGAGAAAUGGAGGCCCCCCAAAUAGAAGCCCAUUGUCCAAAAUCAAGGGCUUUGGACUUUUGGACUAUGUGCCUGGAGAGCUCCCUCCACCAUUUGUUACAGAACUCAAGCGGAGCGUUGACGUGGCUGACAUUGAAUUUCUCGUGUCCUGUGCCUUCCAUGUGCUCCCAGCUCAAAAGGAUGAGGUCAAAGGUUUACCUUUCUAGCUGGCAAAUGGUUUUCGCAGUUCCACCGGGAGGCUGUUGGCAGGGGGAAGAGGCCAUCACUUCUCUGCAAUGGUCCUUUGUGUACGUAUUUGAUCAGCGCUAACUUUCUUGGGUUUUACCCCAAUGAGUCUUGGUCCCUUGCCUGGUACUGCAGAUUUUAAUACUAACACUAUAGCUACCGUGACAAUUGAAAUGAGACCCUGUGAGCAGACAGCCUGGCAUGUGGAAGAGCAUGUCUGCUUUCCUGCCGUUGAAACGUUUUUAUUUUACUCCCCACCGAGCUUUGGAUCCACAGUCUUUCCCUCUUUGGUAAUACUGAAUUUCAAGUGACUUCUCUCUCAACCAAGGGAGACAUUCCCAGUUGGUGUGCUUGUCACUGAACUUAUUCGAGGGAACAAUUUGGAGACCUUGGAUGGAAACCCCAGAUGUGCCUGACCUGCCCGCCAUUUACGGAGUUUUAUGUAUUCACUGGGGUCUUUGCUGUGCCUGAGACUAAGUGGCGAUGUCCGUCGGAAGUGGUCUGUUUUCUAAGAUGUUCACUGAGGUUGACUUGUUAACAUUUUCCGUGUGCACUCACUUAAGAGGCUGUUGUGUGGUGUGCUUCCUAUCCCAAAUUUAGUCUUCUCCCAACUGGAUAUUUAAAGUAAAAGAACGAAAUCUUGCCAUUGGCAACAACGCAGAUGAAACUAGAGAUUAUUGUGCUAAGCAAAGUAAGUCAGUCAGAGGAAGACAGAUGUCAUGUGAUUUCAUUCAUAUGUGGAACUUAAGAAAUACAACAGAUGAAUGUAGGGGAAGGGA